GUGGGGAAUAUUGGACAAUGGGCGAAAGCCUGAUCCAGCCAUGCCGCGUGUGUGAAGAAGGUCUUCGGAUUGUAAAGCACUUUAAGUUGGGAGGAAGGGCAGUAAGUUAAUACCUUGCUGUUUUGACGUUACCGACAGAAUAAGCACCGGCUAACUUCGUGCCAGCAGCCGCGGUAAUACGAAGGGUGCAAGCGUUAAUCGGAAUUACUGGGCGUAAAGCGCGCGUAGGUGGUUUUGUAAGUUGGAGGUGAAAUCCCCGGGCUCAACCUGGGAACUGCCUGCAAAACUGCAUGACUAGAGUACGGUAGAGGGUAGUGGAAUUUCCUGUGUAGCGGUGAAAUGCGUAGAUAUAGGAAGGAACACCAGUGGCGAAGGCGACUACCUGGACUGAUACUGACACUGAGGUGCGAAAGCGUGGGGAGCAAACAGGAUUAGAAACCCGUGUAGUCC
rnacentral:rRNA from 1 species